CGGAACUGCUGCAACACCCACCUUAUUUAAAUUUGUCGUAAGUCUAUGCAGCAUAGAUUCACAAUUUUGAUGAUUGAAUACGAUACCAGGAUGACAGAUUUGCAACAAUUUUGGGAAGGAAAAUUGGAAUACUACGAAAUAUCAAAUUAUGAAAAAACAACAAAGAUAAACCUAACUAUGUACCGUGAACACGAAGCAGGACUAAAUAGAAGCUAUCGUCCUCUGCUAUUGCACGCAGACCCACAAUGGCCACG
rnacentral:misc_RNA from 1 species